rnacentral:rRNA from 1 species
UACGUAGGGGGCGAGCGUUGUCCGGAGUUACUGGGCGUAAAGCACUUGUAGGCGGUCCACCAAGUUUGGGGUGACAGUUGCCGACUUAAUCGGCAAAGUGCCUCAAAGACUGGCGGACUUGAGGGCCACAGAGGGACAUGGAACUCCAGGUGUAGUGGUGAAAUGCGUAGAUAUCUGGAAGAACACCAAAGGCGAAGGCAGUGUCCUGGGUGGUCGCUGACGCUGAGAGGCGAAAGCCAGGGGAGCGAACGGG